rnacentral:rRNA from 1 species
GAUGAACGCUGGCGGCGUGCCUAAUACAUGCAAGUCGAGCGAACGGACAAGAAGCUUGCUCCUUUAAGGUUAGCGGCGGACGGGUGGGUAACACGUGGAUAACCUACCUAUAAGACUGGGAUAACUUCGGGAAACCGUUGCUGAUACCGGAUAAUAUUUUGAACCGCAUGGUUCAAAAGUGAAAGACGGUUUUGCUGUCACUUUUAGAUGGAUCCGCGCUGCAUUAGCUAGUUGGUAAGGUAACGGCUUACCAAGGCAACGAUGCGUAGCCGACCUGAGAGGGUGAUCGGCCACACUGGAACUGAGACACGGUCCAGACUCCUACGGGAGGCAGCAGUAGGGAAUCUUCCGCAAUGGGCGAAAGCCUGACGGAGCAACGCCGCGUGAGUGAUGAAGGUCUUCGGAUCGUAAAACUCUGUUAUUAGGGAAGAACAUAUGUGUAAUUAACUGUGCACGUCCUGACGGUACCUAAUCAGAAAGCCACGGCUAACUACGUG